rnacentral:rRNA from 1 species
AAGCGUGGGGAGCGAACAGGAUUAGAUACCCUGGUAGUCCACGCCGUAAACGGUGGGCGCUAGUUGUGGGAACCUUCCACGGUUUCUGCGACGCAGCUAACGCAUUAAGCGCCCCGCCUGGGGAGUACGAUCGCAAGAUUAAAACUCAAAGGAAUUGACGGGGCCCCGCACAAGCAGCGGAGCAUGCGGCUUAAUUCGACGCAACGCGAAGAACCUUACCAAGGCUUGACAUCUACCGGAAUGCAGUAGAGAUAUUGCAGCUGUAAAAGGUCGGUAGACAGGUGGUGCAUGGUUGUCGUCAGCUCGUGUCGUGAGAUGUUGGGUUAAGUCCCGCAACGAGCGCAACCCUCGUUCUGUGUUGCCAGCAUUUAGUUGGGGACUCACAGGAGACUGCCGGGGUUAACUCGGAGGAAGGUGGGGAUGACGUCAAAUCAUCAUGCCCCUUAUGUCUUGGGCUGCACGCAUGCUACAAUGGCUGGUACAAAGGGCUGCGAGACCGCAAGGUGGAGCGAAUCCCAUAAAGCCAGUCUCAGUUCGGAUUGGGGUCUGCAACUCGACCCCAUGAAGUCGGAGUUGCUAGUAAUCGUAGAUCAGCAACGCUACGGUGAAUACGUUCCCGGGGCUUGUACACACCGCCCGUCACGUCACGAAAGUCGGUAACACCCGAA